UGAGGAAUAUUGGACAAUGGGUGAGAGCCUGAUCCAGCCAUCCCGCGUGAAGGACGACGGCCCUAUGGGUUGUAAACUUCUUUUGUACAGGGAUAAACCUGCCCUCGUGAGGGUAGCUGAAGGUACUGUACGAAUAAGCACCGGCUAACUCCGUG
rnacentral:rRNA from 1 species